GACGAACGCUGGCGGCGUGCCUAAUACAUGCAAGUUGAGCGCUGAAGGUUGGUACUUGUACCAACUGGAUGAGCAGCGAACGGGUGAGUAACGCGUGGGGAAUCUGCCUUUGAGCGGGGGACAACAUUUGGAAACGAAUGCUAAUACCGCAUAAAAACUUUAAACACAAGUUUUAAGUUUGAAAGAUGCAAUUGCAUCACUCAAAGAUGAUCCCGCGUUGUAUUAGCUAGUUGGUGAGGUAAAGGCUCACCAAGGCGUUGAUACAUAGCCGACCUGAGAGGGUGAUCGGCCACAUUGGGACUGAGACACGGCCCAAACUCCUACGGGAGGCAGCAGUAGGGAAUCUUCGGCAAUGGACGAAAGUCUGACCGAGCAACGCCGCGUGAGUGAAGAAGGGUUUCGGAUCGUAAAACUCUGUUGGUAGAGAAGAACGUUGGUGAGAGUGGAAAGCUCAUCAAGUGACGGUAACUACCCAGAAAGGGACGGCUAACUACGUG
rnacentral:rRNA from 1 species